ACAGCAGUAGCCGCGGUAAUACGAAGGGUGCAAGCGUUAAUCGGAAUUACUGGGCGUAAAGCGUGCGUAGGCGGUUUGUUAAGUCUGCUGUGAAAUCCCCGGGCUCAACCUGGGAAUGGCAGUGGAUACUGGCAAGCUAGAGUGUGUCAGAGGAUGGUGGAAUUCCCGGUGUAACGGUGAAAUGCGUAGAGAUCGGGAGGAACAUCAGUGGCGAAGGCGGCCAUCUGGGACAACACUGACGCUGAGGCACGAAAGCGUGGGGAGCAAACAGGAUUAGAUACCCCAGUAGUCCCUGUCUCUUAUAC
rnacentral:rRNA from 1 species